AACGAACGCUGGCGGCAUGCCUAACACAUGCAAGUCGAACGAGACCUUCGGGUCUAGUGGCGCACGGGUGCGUAACGCGUGGGAACCUGCCCUUAGGUUCGGAAUAACUCCCCGAAAGGGGUGCUAAUACCGGAUAAUGUCUUCGGACCAAAGAUUUAUCGCCUUUGGAUGGGCCCGCGUUGGAUUAGCUAGUUGGUAGGGUAAAAGCCUACCAAGGCGACGAUCCAUAGCUGGUCUGAGAGGAUGAUCAGCCACACUGGGACUGAGACACGGCCCAGACUCCUACGGGAGGCAGCAGUGGGGAAUAUUGGAACAUGGGCGGAAGGCUGAUCCAGCAAUGCCGCGUGAGUGAUGAAGGCCUUAGGGUUGUAAAGCUCUUUUACCCGGGAUGAUAAUGACAGUACCGGGAGAAUAAGCUCCGGCUAACUCCGUG
rnacentral:rRNA from 1 species